CCCUUAGAUGUUCUGGGCCGCACGCGCGCUACACUGAUGCAUUCAACGAGUUUCUUCCUGGUCCGAGAGGAAUGGGUAACCUUUUGAAAGUGCAUCGUGAUAGGGAUAGACUAUUGCAAUUAUUGGUCUUCAACGAGGAAUUCCUAGUAGACGUAGUUCAUCAGACUGCAUCGAUUACGUCCCUGCCCUUUGUACACACCGCCCGUCGCUCCUACCGAUUGAAUGGUCCGGUGAAAUCUUGGGAUCCUGUGAGACGGUCUUUAUUGUACUGUUUUGUGGGAGAACUUGAGUAAACCUUACCAUUUAGAGGAAGGUGAAGUCGUAACA
rnacentral:rRNA from 1 species